CAAGGGGUGGGAGUUAAAAUCUCCUUUCUUUGAGCAAGGGGUGGGAGUUAAAAUCUCCUUUCUUUGA
rnacentral:tRNA from 1 species